UACAGAGGGUGCAAGCGUUGUUCGGAAUUACUGGGCGUAAAGCGCACGUAGGCGGCGAUUCAAGUCAGAGGUGAAAGCCCGGGGCUCAACCCCGGAACUGCCUUUGAAACUAGAUCGCUAGAAUCUUGGAGAGGCGAGUGGAAUUCCGAGUGUAGAGGUGAAAUUCGUAGAUAUUCGGAAGAACACCAGUGGCGAAGGCGACUCGCUGGACAAGUAUUGACGCUGAGGUGCGAAAGCGUGGGGAGCAAACAGG
rnacentral:rRNA from 1 species